GCCAAUAAGGAAAGCAGGAAAGUUCGGGUGAAGCGAUAGGGCUACACGCAAGUAACAUGGUAGUUAGGCUACGGGAUGGUAGACAGAGUGUGUGAAGAAUAAACAUGACCCGGCAAAGCAGUUGAAGAAAGCAGGAACAUCAGGACACUGACGCAGAGUGUGUAGCACUGGCUACUGAGGGCAAGCCAAUUGUCACGUUAUUCCUAUAAUAAGAAGGUGUUAAGCGGAAGAAUCAACGAGCGAGAGGACACAGUACCUUGUUGAC
rnacentral:ncRNA from 1 species